rnacentral:rRNA from 1 species
CAUAGCUUUAUUGAUUAUUAAUUUAAAGUAUAAUCUGCCCAGUGACUUAUGUUUAACGGCCGCAGUAUUUUGACUGUGCAAAGGUAGCGUGAUAAUUAGUUUUUUAAUUGGAAUCUGGUAUGAAUGAUUGGACAAGGAAAAUUCUGUCUCAGUAUAAUUUAUUUAAAAUUUAAUUUUUGAGUUAAAAGGCUCAAAUAUUUUUUAAGGACGAGAAGACCCUAUAGAGUUUAAAAUUUUACUUAUUCAUAUAUUUAGGGUUACUUAUUAUGUGAUUAAUAAAAAUUUUUGAUUGGGGUGAUUAGAAGAUUUGAUUAACUCUUUUGAAUUUAUACAGAGGUUUCUGAAUGUAUGAUCCAUUUUUAAUGAUUAAAAGAUUAAAUUACCUUAGGGAUAACAGCGUAAUUUUCUAGAAAGUUCUUAUUGAAUUGAAAGGUUGCGACCUCGAUGUUGGAUUAAAAUUAAUUUUAGGUGCAGAAGCUAUAAUAUUAAGUCUGUUCGACUUUUAAAAUUUUACAUGAUCUGAGU